rnacentral:rRNA from 1 species
CAGCACCUCAAGUGGUCAGGAUGAUUAUUGGGCCCAAAGCAUCCGUAGCCGGCGCUGUAAGUUUUCGGUUAAAUCUGUACGCUCAACGUACAGGCUGCCGGGAAUACUGCAGCGCUAGGGAGUGGGAGAGGUAGACGGUACUCGGUAGGAAGGGGUAAAAUCCUUUGAUCUAUUGAUGACCACCUGUGGCGAAGGCGGUCUACCAGAACACGUCCGACGGUGAGGGAUGAAAGCUGGGGGAGCAAACCGGAUUAGAGACCCGAGUAGUCC